rnacentral:rRNA from 1 species
GACGAACGCUGGCGGCGUGCUUAACACAUGCAAGUCGAACGAAGUGGCGAACGGGUGAGUAACGCGUAAUCAACCUGCCCUUCAGAGGGGGACAACAGUUGGAAACGACUGCUAAUACCGCAUACUGAAGGAGGGGAUUGCGUCUGAUUAGCUAUUUCGAGGGGUAACGGCCCACCAAGGCGAUGAUCAGUAGCCGGUCUGAAGGGAGGAACGGCCCAAGUGGGACUGAGGCACGGCCCAGACUCCCAAGGGAGGCAGCAGGGGGGAAUCAUCCGGAAUGGGCGCAAGCCUGACGGAGCAACGCCGCGUGAGUGAUGAAGGCCUUCGGGUUGUAAAGCUCUGUUAAUCGGGACGCGGUACCGGAAUAGAAAGCCACGGCUAACUACGUGCCAGCAGCCGCGGUAAUUC